rnacentral:rRNA from 1 species
AAUAUUGUAAAAUGGGGGAAACCCUGAUCCAGCCAUGCCGCGUGUUUGAAGAAGGUCUUCGGAUUGUAAAGCACUUUAAGUUGGGAGGAAGGGUUGUAGGCUAAUAUCCAGCAAUUUUGACGUUACCGACAGAUAAAGAACCGGCUAACUCUGUGCAAGCAGCCGCGGUAAUACAGAGGGUGCAAGCGUUAAUCGGAAUUACUGGGCGUAAAGCGCGCGUAGGUGGUUCAGUACGAUUGGUGUGAAAUCCCCAGGCUUAACCUGUGAACUGCUUUCAUAACUGCUGAGCUAGAGUACGGUAGAGUGUAUUGGAGUUUCCUGUGUAGCGGUGAAAUGCGUAGAUAUAGGAAGGAACACCAGUGGCGAAGGCGACUACCUGGACUGAUACUGACACUGAGGUGCGAAAGCGUGGGGAGCAAAC